AGUAUGUGAGUUCUCAUUAGUUCUCCACCCCUGCACUGCUACUACAACCGCUACAGGCAGUCUUUCGAACCCGGUUUGGCGUUGAAGACAGAAAGCGGAGUAUCAAGAUUAUGCUUUCCAGUGCGUUUACGUCCAAUGAGAGAGUCUCGAGAACGCGCCUAGUGAUUUAUUACCACUGAGAGAAGUGGUGCGAUUAUCCUUCUACGCCAUCAGUGCGUAGUCGCUGCAGCAAAGAAUACUGGAUCCUGUGGAGGCGAUUACCUUGCAAAGUUCUAGCUCCGCGUCUUACAAGCGACAGGAUUCUCUUCACUUUGUAGGCGUCAAUCCAGCGGCUCUAAACGUACAACGCCAAGGGCACAGGCAUCGCUUAUACAGUACACUAUUCGUGUUGGCUUGACCACGUGAAGGGACAGAAGCACAGCAGCCAUUGAGCAGAGGCAUCGGCCAGUGCAGCAGACAUGGUUCAACAGCCCCAGCAAACUUUGGUCCUGUGGAUAGUCGGCGGUGUGAGCGUGCUCGCUGGAGUUAUCUUCUUUUCAAUCGGCAUCGCCACCGAUUUGACCUACAUGAUAAGCGUAGGUGUUCUUGUGGGGAUCGCGGGUGUCGUGGUGUCGUUAGUGGGCUGCAGAGUUCGACAUAAUUCCUACUACAACAUGCGCUCGGCCGGUCCGCAUGUGUCCGUCACCACCGUCCAAUCACAGCCCGGCGGCGGCCAAUCGUCGGUGGUGAUGACACCCGGUGCCACCAUUGCCACGGCCACCCCGCAGGUAGUUGCCGCACCUCAGCCUUAUGCGGCACCUGUAGUUGCACAGCCCGUCGCAAUGCAGCCCCAGCCGGUUCCCAUGGCGCAGCCCCAUCCGGUUGCCAUGGGGCAGCCAGAGCCCUACGCAGUGGAUCAACACGUUGGAGCUUACCCGCCAAAUCUGGAUGGAGAUCGUCAGCCACCUACCGUGCCCAUUCACCCUUCAGCACCGGUAGGGGAACAUUAUCCCCCACAAGAAGGUUAUGACAGCUCGCACUACCCGGCCGGAUAUCCAGCGCAGGAUCCUCCUUCGUAUGAUUCCUACGCGCAAUAAGUUUCAAUGCUGACUGAUUAAAACUCCAAGGCAAUGGAGGUACAGGACUUUGUUACCAACAGCAACCAUGUCGUGAAACAAGUUACAAUCCAUUCGGCCAACCAGCAACAUUAUUUGCAUGCAAAUGAUUGUAAAGGCCAUUUGACGUCCAGAAACCAAAAAAGCAGCAUAGAAAAGUAGUAAUGUCUGUGCCGUUAGCAGUAAUGAAUUUUGUACAUGUACAAGUAUGUGUUUUCUCAUUUGCAUCACUAAAGCCUGCUUUCAAUCCGUGUGUCAUGCCUUUGGCCAACAGUAAAUGGCACUAUUCUGCAGUCAAGUUUCAGCAUAGUUUUGACAGGGCUCUUCCCCUGUGUUUUGGUCUCAUACAGGGUACAAUCA